UGCAGUCGAGCGGACCGACGGGAGCUUGCUCCCUUAGGUCAGCGGCGGACGGGUGAGUAACACGUGGGUAACCUGCCUGUAAGACUGGGAUAACUCCGGGAAACCGGGGCUAAUACCGGAUGCUUGAUUGAACCGCAUGGUUCAAUCAUAAAAGGCGGCUUCGGCUGCCGUUUACAGAUGGACCCGCGGCGCAUUAGCUAGUUGGUGAGGUAACGGCUCACCAAGGCGACGAUGCGUAGCCGACCUGAGAGGGUGAUCGGCCACACUGGGACUGAGACACGGCCCAGACUCCUACGGGAGGCAGCAGUAGGGAAUCUUCCGCAAUGGACGAAAGUCUGACGGAGCAACGCCGCGUGAGUGAUGAAGGUUUUCGGAUCGUAAAGCUCUGUUGUUAGGGAAGAACAAGUACCGUUCGAAUAGGGCGGUACCUUGACGGUACCUAACCAGAAAGCCACGGCUAACUACGUGCCAGCAGCCGCGGUAAUACGUAUGUGGCAAGCGUUGUCCGGAAUUAUUGGGCGUAAAGCGCGCGCACGCGGUUUCUUAAGUCUGAUGUGAAAGCC
rnacentral:rRNA from 1 species